GAUGAAGAACGCAGCGAAAUGCGAUAAGUAAUGUGAAUUGCAGAAUUCAGUGAAUCAUCGAAUCUUUGAACGCACAUUGCGCCCGCCAGUAUUCUGGCGAGCAUGCCUGUUCGAGCGUCAUUUCAACCAUCAAGCCCCAGGCUUGUGUUGGAGCCCUGCGGCUGCCGCAGCCUCCCAAAACCAGUGGCGGGCUCGCUAUCACACCGAGUGCAGUAGUUUACUCUUCGCUCAGGGCGUGUGGCGGGUGCUAGCCGUGAAACCCCCAACUUCUCAAGGUUGACCUCGGAUCAGGUAGGAAUACCCGCUGAACUUAAGCAUAUCAAAAGCGGAGGA
rnacentral:misc_RNA from 1 species